rnacentral:rRNA from 1 species
CUUAACACAUGCAAGUCGAGGGGCAGCAUGGUCUUAGCUUGCUAAGGCCGAUGGCGACCGGCGCACGGGUGAGUAACGCGUAUCCAACCUGCCUUACACUCUUGGACAGCCUUCUGAAAGGGAGAUUAAUACAAGAUGUUAUCAUGAGUAAGCAUUUUCGCAUGAUUAAAGGUUUACCGGUGUAAGAUGGGGAUGCGUUCCAUUAGAUAGUAGGCGGGGUAACGGCCCACCUAGUCUUCGAUGGAUAGGGGUUCUGAGAGGAAGGUCCCCCACAUUGGAACUGAGACACGGUCCAAACUCCUACGGGAGGCAGCAGUGAGGAAUAUUGGUCAAUGGACGAGAGUCUGAACCAGCCAAGUAGCGUGAAGGAUGAAGGUUCUAUGGAUUGUAAACUUCUUUUAUACGGGAAUAAACGGAUCCACGUGUGGAUUUUUGCAUGUACCGUAUGAAUAAGGAUCGGCUAACUCCGUGCCAGCAGCCGCGGUAAUACGGAGGAUCCGAGCGUUAUCCGGAUUUAUUGGGUUUAAAGGGAGCGUAGAUGGGUUGUUAAGUCAGUUGUGAAAGUUUGCGGCUCAACCGUAAAAUUGCAAUUGAUACUGGCAGUCUUGAGUACAGUUGAGGUAGGCGGAAUUCGUGGUGUAGCGGUGAAAUGCUUAGAUAUCACGAAGAACUCCGAUUUCGAAGGCAGCUUACUAACCUGUAACUGACAUUGAUGCUCGAAAGUGUGGGUAUCAAACAGGAUUAGAUACCCUGGUAGUCCACACGGUAAACGAUGAAUACUCGCUGUAGGCGAUAUACAGUCUGCGGCCAAGCGAAAGCAUUAAGUAUUCCACCUGGGGAGUACGCCGGCAACGGUGAAACUCAAAGGAAUUGACGGGGGCCCGCACAAGCGGAGGAACAUGUGGUUUAAUUCGAUGAUACGCGAGGAACCUUACCCGGGCUUAAAUUGCAACCGAAUAUGGCGGAAACGCUAUAGCUAGCAAUAGCGGUUGUGAAGGUGCUGCAUGGUUGUCGUCAGCUCGUGCCGUGAGGUGUCGGCUUAAGUGCCAUAACGAGCGCAACCCUUGCCGAUAGUUACUAACAGGUCAUGCUGAGGACUCUGUCGGGACUGCCAUCGUAAGAUGUGAGGAAGGUGGGGAUGACGUCAAAUCAGCACGGCCCUUACGUCCGGGGCUACACACGUGUUACAAUGGGGGGUACAGAGGGCUGCUACCACGCAAGUGGAUGCCAAUCCCAAAAACCUCUCUCAGUUCGGAUUGAAGUCUGCAACCCGACUUCAUGAAGCUGGAUUCGCUAGUAAUCGCGCAUCAGCCACGGCGCGGUGAAUACGUUCCCGGGCCUUGUACACACCGCCCGUCAAGCCAUGGGAGCCGGGGGUACCUGAAGUGCGUAACCGCAAGGAGCGCCCUAGGGUAAAACUGGUGACUGGGGCUAAGUC